AACCUUGUCUUGCUCCUAACUAUAUUCUCCAUAUAUAGAACACAAAAACUAUUAAAACCAUCUGCUGAAGGAAUGGAUGACUCCAUGGUAGAGCUACAAUCCUAAAGCCCCAUGAUCUCAGUUUGAGCGCUAUGUCAGAAAGAUGGGCACCAAAAAAGGGUACGCUCGAUCCUGUGUUCCACCUAAUUCUCACCCAAGAGGUGGACUUUGAGAACAAAUGAAGUUUUAGAAAUGUUUUAAAGCUAGAAUUAUUUUCUUUCAGGAUUUUUUGUUUUUUUCCUUUGUACUUAGAAUUAAAAAAAAUUCUUUUGCUAUAUAUUUUGAGUCGACUCUCUUGAAGACUUACACCAACUAUCUGAAAACCCAGACGGGGAAAGGUCUUAUUGAUUUAACUGGAGGAGGGGAGAGAGGCAGCAGGCAAAGCAGAAGGAGAAGAGAAGAGCUUUUCAUUUGCAGGCCAGAAUCCUGACGGUUCAGAAACCUGUAUUCCCCCAGGGACAGGUAGGGAGGUGGGUGGGGGAGAGGGCAGCACACCAAGUCCAUUUUCUCCUAUCUAUCUUACCUGAUUUGUCUCUAGUGGUUCAUAAACCGAGGGAAAAGCCAGUGGAUACCAAGCAGGACAAAAGGGUACUUAGAGCGCAGGGAGGACAUACAGCAAGUUUUGUUUUAUGUCAAACACUUAACGAGGGGCUGGAUCUGUUUUUACGUGGUCAUGGAUUCUGCUUACCAGUGAAUGUGGUGUUUCAUUUUCCACGGGAGAGAGAGUAAUAGUCCUCACCAGGAGCCUGCCCUUCAGGCCUGGUACUGAAUAAUUACUGGACUGCUGAAAGCUUCCAAGUAGAAGCUCAGCCUCCACUAUACCGCUUGGCUCCUGUUCCCAUUCCAGCUACUUUAAGCUCUUGUAAACAGCCUUUGUUUUCCAUUACAAGCUGGGAAAUGUGACCAUGUGGCAGUGGUGCCGGGUCCCUGGAGAGGGCCUGCCAGGGAGGCCGUUUCCUCACAUCUCCUUUCAGCUUGUAAACUUGCUGUCGAGGUUGGCUAAUCACGGAAGCUCCAUGUCUUCCCAUCCUAUUCUGUUCCCCCUAAUUUACAGAACAGCCAGAGACCCGCUUGAGGACUAGCGGAUCGACCAGAUGUUUCCUGAGCACAGACAGAGUCCGUUUCCCCUUGCACAUCAUCUUGUGAGAGGGGAGGGCCGGCAGGGGCGCUCACCCCUGCUGACAUCAUUGGGCGAGGUGGCCUGGGGGAGAAUUUCAAAGCAGGGCAGCUUGGCCAGGGAAGAGCUCAGCUGGUGGCCCUGGGCUGGGAUUAACUGACCCAGAUGCCUAGGGAGAAGGAUUUUAGCAAUUUAAGUGUGUUGGUUCUCUGGGAGGAAAGUAGCCCCUCCAUUCCCUGCACAUCCCUGGGCUAUGGAUGAACUUCGCUGGUGGCUCCACAUACACAUUCAGGGUCACCUUCACUUCCGUCCAAAAUCCCUGUGGUUUCCGGACUUUUUGCUUGAGGUUUGUGAUGAGACAAGCUCAUUUGAUUGCAGUGAAUGAUGACAAAAUCAUAAUAAAUGAUAAUGAUAAUAAUAAAUUAGUGGGCCUUCUUCCCCAAAUGCAACAUAGGGGACCCACAUGCUAACAAAUCUAUCAUUUUGCAUCACUUUAGAUCACUAGCUUGUCAGAUUCAGGGGGUGGUAGGAACCAAUAAAACUUUUUAAUAUAGAGAACAACUGACAUGGAUUUAAUUGCCAGCUUCCCCUUAGGAAGGUCAUUAAAAGUAGAUGAAACCAAGUAAAUGAAUAGGGACUGUGCCAUUUACUAUCAUUCCAGUUUUCAUAAAAGAAAGGUUAGUUUAGCCUCUUCUGCUCAAAUCCUUCCAAGGAAUUGUCUUCACUGCUCCUAAUCAAAUCCAAACUACCAGGACCUGGGGAUCCCUGGGUUGCCCAGGGGUUUUGGCACCUGCCUUUGGCUCAGGGCGCGAUCCUGGAGUCCCAGGAUCAAGUCCCACGUCAGGCUCCCUGCAUGGAGCCUGCUUCUCCCUCCUCCUGUGUCUCUGCUCUCUCUCUCUCUCUCUCUCUCUCUCUCUAUGUCUAUCAUAAAUAAAUGAAUAAAUCUUAAAAAAAAAAAAAAAAAAAAAAAAG
rnacentral:lncRNA from 1 species